UAGAGGCACUAUCAAUUAGGGACAUUAUAUAGUAUAUAGGACACUAUAGUAGUGGCACAACCUACCAGGGAGUAUGACCUUCUUGUGAACACUAUCUGCUGUGGGGAUGAGCUACCUGGUGGCACUAUCUUGUUGGGGUGAACUACUUACUGAGGGCACUACCUACUGGGGUCAUUACUUUCCUGGGGGGCACUACCCACAUUACCUACCACUUACCUACUGGGGGUAUUACCUAUGACCUACCUGGGAGCAUUUCCUACGAACUACCUAGGGGCAUUGCCUAAUACCUACUGGGGGCAUCAUCUACUACCUACCUCCUGGGGCAAUUACCUACCUACUGGGGUAUUACUGAUCUGCUGGGGGCUUUUACCAUAUAGAGGGCAUACCCUACGUACCUAAUGGGGGCCUUACCUAAUAGGGGAGAGGAAAUUACCUACCCACCACCACCCAAUCCCCCUACCCUUUCCCCCCAACACACCCCAAGAGGGGCAUUAUUUAGGGCACUAAGAGUGGGGAACAGGUGGGGAAUGUGCUGAAAUUUGUGAAGGCUAAUAUGUAUGUUUGUUUGUCAGAUUCUGUGAAGAUGAAUCAUGAUUGGAAGAAGACUUCAUGAUGGUCUGAGCAAGACAGAGAAGAAAAGGAAAGAGAAAGACUCAAAGAAGACGUCUCCUUUUAACCCAUGGAUGGCAUUGUGUCUCAGGGCUCUUUUGAUCAUGGAAAACAAUCUCGGACACCUGUGAUAAUUAGAUUGCUAUGUGAGCCCAAUUUAAGGAAAAACUACUAAAGAAGUGGACUCGAGGCCCCUCACUCACCCAUGACAACCCUCCAGGCAGACCAGGCACCUUGUCCACACACAACACACCACUAGCACUUGGACCUGAGACCCUCCUUGGACAGCCCACCCAUUUGUGACUCCAACCAGGUGCUGUCACUUCUCCAGUGACGGGUGGCACACAGGCACUCUGUGCUGACUGCCUAUGGUGGCCACCGGAGUUGCCCCACAGGACAACUAGAGAGCUGCGGUUCCCGUGACACUCUGGUCUUUACCUUGUGCAGAAAACACCCACCAGGAGAUUGCCGUGAAACACCGGAGCCCACACAUACCACUUUCAAGAUGGCGCUGUCCUUGCUCCUUCCCAGUGUGCGCAUGCGCCGCACAGGACGCUCCGGUCUCCAGGAUCCAGUGCACAGAACAGCCCACAUGGUGUUUGUUGACAUUCGUCACUUCCGCACGCCGCAUGAAGCUCCCGUACAUGCCGGAAAUGCCUUGGUCUUUGCCUUCACGUCAUGCUGCCUCGCCGGGUGAGUGACCGCGGCCCCCCGCCCACUUGUGUAUCUAGAUUGUAGAACUGCCACAGCAUUUCAUUGUCACAUUAUUUGUUCUAUGGACUAUCUGUGCAUCUUCUCCACGUACACCACGUACACAUGUAUAAUGCACUGUUAUUUGAUUUUGAUCGCUGUUAUUGCAUACCACAUGGAUUUGUUUACAUGUCAACUCUAAUUAUGAGGGUGGUCCUGCGUGACCUAUAAGUACCCUCCUUCUCCACCAUUUUGUUGCUUGACAAAGGCAGCGGGAGGCUGC